UACGUAGGGUGCGAGCGUUGUCCGGAAUUAUUGGGCGUAAAGAGCUCGUAGGCGGUUUGUCGCGUCGACUGUGAAAACCCGAGGCUUAACCUCGGGCCUGCAGUCGAUACGGGCAGACUAGAGUUCGGUAGGGGAGACUGGAAUUCCUGGUGUAGCGGUGAAAUGCGCAGAUAUCAGGAGGAACACCCGUAGCGAAGGCGGCACUCUGGGCCGAUACUGACACUGAGGAGCGAAAGCGUGGGGAGCGAACAGG
rnacentral:rRNA from 1 species